AAAUCAAUUCAACAACAACUGCCCCGGUGCUUCCCCGUAGAUAGCACCGCUGUUGUUUCAGGAACACAGUCAUCCCUCAGAAAUGGAUUGGGUGACAAGUGGUCUGCAUGCUGCACACGGGCACUGGGUCUCUGAAUGUAACCAAAUUGUUCUCCUCUUAUCAUUCCCAUUCACUGGUGUACUUGUUUGUGGAGCCUGCAGAACUGCCUUUUUCAAGAAUGGCAGCUUGGCCUCUAAAUCUGCUUCCCACUGAUGGGAAGAGCUGACAGAAGCUUUAGAGAGGCACAGGGUGAGUUCCUAAAACCAGAGUCAACACACACUCUUCAUCUGUUUUGUGCUUCACUCCCUGCUCAUCUUCCUAAAACACUGAGUUUGGUCAUAUCAUGUCCUACAAGUUGUCAAUGAUUUCCCAUGAUCUUGUCUUCAGGAUAAAGUUCCUUAGUCAAAAGCAAUGAAGACCUGACCUAAUCUGUAAGGCAAAAUCAACACUUUUUAGCCUGGCCUUCCAUGCCCUUCCAUGCCCUUCGAGCCCCCAGAGCACCCAUGGCAGUCCAUCUCUCUCUACUUGUCCAGAGGGACACUCUCUUAGAGCCAGUGGCUCCUACUCACGGUUCCCCGAACACGUCGUGGGAAUGUUUGCCUUCAUACCUUCCCAGAUCAUUUUCCUGAUCUCAGACACCCUCCGUCCUCAUUCAUUCACUCUUCAAUUGUCCAACAAAUAUUUGUUGCUCAUGCAACCUGGAUCACCCACAUAGUUUCAAGACUGCAUCUUCUAAACUAUUUAAAUCCUAUCCAUUCUUCAAGAAAUGUUUCAUGACGCUUCCUUAACUGCUAAGGACCCGCAGAUUCUCUUCCUCUUGGGACUCACACACUGACUCAUCUCCCGAUCUUUUGGUGCUCAGCAAAGUGGAGGCUUCUGUUUUGGACUUAGAGUCAAGACCAUUAAAUAAGACUAUGCUCUAAAAAGUACACCUCCGUGGCCCGGAACGAGUGAAUUAACAUCUAUGAGUUUCCAUUUCCUUGUCUAUAAAAUUGUGAAAUUGCAACUUAAGAUUAGUUCUGAAGAUUAAAUGAGGUAACAUAGGUGAAAAUGCUACAUUUAUGUAAGAAAUUACUCUUUCAUAAGGAUGUCAAUGUUUAAAUACGCAUUUUCUCAAUUUUGUUAAUGAAAUACUUUGAAAUUCUUUUUUCUAAUGAAACCUGCUGAAUGUAAAAGAGACCCGUACUAAAGAAAGAUACCACAUGAAGCACCAAGGGUCUCUUUCUGGAUCUAUCAUGACUCUUGUGACUGUUUCAGCAGCACAGAAAUUAAAGGCGAUUGUUAUUCUGGAGGAAGACAAUGAGUCUCAUCUAUAUCUUGUUUGGGUUGAUUUUGUAAACAGAACAUUCCAAAGAUCAUUCUUGCCUUUUGUUUCCACUGAGAACUAGAAUAAAGUAAAACAAACUAUCAAUUUAAGGAAAGCCUCGAAAUUGUUAGCAAUUUCUUCAGUAACUUUCAUCCAUCAACUGAUUUUAUGAACACAAAUUUGCAGAAAUGGGCAAGAAAAACUACUUAACUCAUUGGUGGGAAGCAGUGGGCUCUCUAAGGAGGGAGAGAUAGCAGUGAUUUCACCACCGGACCGUGGAACACAAAGAGCCUGGAAGAGUCUAUCACUUUCAACUGAAACCGCAAGAAGAACUAAGUAGGUUAAGCCCUAAGAAUGUUCCUAGGUAACCUACUUGAGUUGAAAUUUGACUAAGAAUCCUUACACCCUACCUAAGAGAGGUAACGCUAUUAGGAUCGGAAGUGAUUGGAAGCUUUGUUUCAGAUCUCGUCCAAAAGGGAGAACGGUCAAUGACAAAGCUGCUGUGAAUAGUAUUCUGGGGGCGUGGUGGAACCCCGAUUCACUGCUAUCUCCCGAAUCAGCAACUUGACAGAGCGCGCCUCCCGGGCCUUGGAAGCCUUCCAUUCCGAGCUGGCUGGGUGGGACUCAGGUUUUACGGUAUGCUGGACUUUUUCCCCGUGAGUUAAAACACAUUUAUAGUAACUAAGUGGUUAAUGAUGAGAAAAAACCCCAAACUACUGUACUAAUAAUCAACCUCUGCUAUUUGGUUUGUAAAAAACAAAAAUACAUCUAUAAAAAGGGUUGGCCG
rnacentral:lncRNA from 1 species